AGAGCGAACGCUGGCGGCAGGCUUAACACAUGCAAGUCGAGCGGGCGUAGCAAUACGUCAGCGGCAGACGGGUGAGUAACGCGUGGGAACAUACCUUUUGGUUCGGAACAACACAGGGAAACUUGUGCUAAUACCGGAUAAGCCCUUACGGGGAAAGAUUUAUCGCCGAAAGAUUGGCCCGCGUCUGAUUAGCUAGUUGGUGAGGUAACGGCUCACCAAGGCGACGAUCAGUAGCUGGUCUGAGAGGAUGAUCAGCCACAUUGGGACUGAGACACGGCCCAAACUCCUACGGGAGGCAGCAGUGGGGAAUAUUGGACAAUGGGCGCAAGCCUGAUCCAGCCAUGCCGCGUGAGUGAUGAAGGCCCUAGGGUUGUAAAGCUCUUUUGUGCGAGAAGAUAAUGACGGUACCGCAAGAAUAACGCCCGGCUAACUUCGCGCCAGCAGCCGC
rnacentral:rRNA from 1 species